UUGUUGUUAUUUAAGUUAUUACUGCCUAACGCAAUCAUGUUUGUAUUGGCCUUUUUGUAUUGUAGGUUUCUGUUAGCAUCCUUCUUCUGGUACUAGUUACGGGCCGUGCUAAAGGGCAACCUAGGUACAUUCCCUGAUGCAAUAUCUUUUGAAGAUGAUGUAAUUAAUUUGAGAUUGGGUAUGUUAAGCUUAAAAUAUCUGCAAGUGACUGGUAAACCAGCUAUCAUCAGGUGCCAUGUCCCAGAAUUCAAGAUAGUUCAGUCGUUUAACGAAAUUACAAUGGCUUUCCUUUGUUCACUUACCUGGAGGUGAAGAGUUCCAGACGCUUGUGUCAAAGUAUCCAAUUUAGUAAAGCCGAGGUGCUUGGUUGAUGAACCACAAGGUGAUCAAGACGCAUUAUAUUUGGCUUCCAGGUUUAGACUCUCUGCAUCAACUCGAAUCACUCGAGCUCUGCUGAGGUGCUUGGUUGAUGAACCACAAGGUGAUCAGAGAUGCAUUUGGCUUCCAGGUUUAAGACUCUCUACAUCGACUUAAAUCAAAUCGUCUACCAUGGAAUGAUGUUUCAGUUAUUGGUAGGUUAAUCAAACUUGGAAGUGCUCAAGUUGAAGUCCCAUGCAUUUGAGGAAGAACAAUGGGGUGUUGGAGAUGGAGAGUUCCAAAAAUUGAAAGUCUUGGAAUUUGAGGAUAUGGACAUUCCACAAUGGAACGCUUCUGAUGUGUCAUUUCCCAACCUCCAAAGAUUGGUUUUCGAUAUACAGUCAGAACCUUUCUACAACAACAUCCUCAUAUGACGGCCAUUCACCAUAAAAGUCAUAUUUUUCUUGGAACCAAUUUUUAUAUUAUGUUAUAAUAUAUGUUUCCUAUAACAACAAUUUACUAUAGCAGCCAAAAAAUAUCGGAACAAACGAGGUUGUUAUAGGGAAGAUUGAUUGUAGUAUAAAGAGGGACAUUCCCUCCAAUCUUGGUUACCAUUAUUGUGUUGGUGCAAUGGCAGCCACUCUGUGAUGGACUCAUUAGAAGACACCAAGGAAAUUCAAGUUCAGGCGAUGGGAAAUCUUGAAUUUAAGCUUAUUAUCAAAGUCUAUAGACGAGGAGCCAAUGUGUCAUAGUGAAGGAGAACUCGGGCAGAUUCAGCAUGUUGACUCUGUAUUCUUCAUGUUCUUUUCUUGAUCAUAUCCACGUUUUCUCAUUUGAAAUUGUUGUACUAUAUAUUUACCAAAUGUUAGGGAAUAAUUAUGGGUUUUUCUCAAAUUUGUUAUGACAUAGAGGCAAUGAAUCAAUUACUUCUUCAAA